rnacentral:rRNA from 1 species
AUACGGAGGGGGUUAGCGUUGUUCGGAAUUACUGGGCGUAAAGCGCACGUAGGCGGAUUGGAAAGUUGGGGGUGGAAUCCCAGGGCUCAACCCUGGAACUGCCUCCAAAACUAACAGUCUAGAGUUCGAGAGAGGUGAGUGGAAUUCCAAGUGUAGAGGUGAAAUUCGUAGAUAUUUGGAGGAACACCAGUGGCGAAGGCGGCUCACUGGCUCGAUACUGACGCUGAGGUGCGAAAGCGUGGGGAGCAAACAGGAUUAGAAACCCUAGUAGUCC